GACGAACGCUGGCGGCGUGCCUAAUACAUGCAAGUCGAGCGAAUGGAUUAAGAGCUUGCUCUUAUGAAGUUAGCGGCGGACGGGUGAGUAACACGUGGGUAACCUGCCCAUAGGACUGGGAUAACUCCGGGAAACCGGGGCUAAUACCGGAUAACAUUUUGAACCGCAUGGUUCGAAAUUGAAAGGCGGCUUCGGCUGUCACUUAUGGAUGGACCCGCGUGGCAUUAGCUAGUUGGUGAGGUAACGGCUCACCAAGGCAACGAUGCGUAGCCGACCUGGGAGGGGGAGCGGCCACACUGGGACUGAGACACGGCCCAGACUCCUACGGGAGGCAGCAGUAGGGAAUCUUCCGCAAUGGACGAAAGUCUGACGGAGCAACGCCGCGUGAGUGAUGAAGGCUUUCGGGUCGUAAAACUCUGUUGUUAGGGAAGAACAAGUGCUAGUUGAAUAAGCUGGCACCUUGACGGUACCUAACCAGAAAGCCACGGCUAACUACGUGCCAGCCGCCGCGGUAA
rnacentral:rRNA from 1 species